GUGCUCACCUCGGGAGCACAUAUAGUAAAAUCGGAACAUGACAGAGAAGAUUAGCAUGGCCUCUGCGUAAGGAUGGCACGCAAAUCUGUGAAGCAUUCCAUUUUUAA
ensembl:snRNA U6 U6 spliceosomal RNA